UGACCUCAGAUCAAGCGAGAUUACCCGCUGAAUUUAAGCAUAUUAAUAAGCGGAGGAAAAGAAACUAACUAGGAUUCCCUCAGUAAUGGCGAAUGAAGCGGGAAGAGCUCAAAUUUGAAAUCUCGGGGGAGGACCCUCGCGAAUUGUAGUUUCUAGAGGCAGCAUCGGACGGCGGCGCGGCCCAAGUCUCUUGGAAAGGAGCGUCAGGGAGGGUGACAACCCCGUGCCGGCUGCGCGGCGGCCGUCUGUACGAUGCGUCUUCAAAGAGUCGGGUUGCUUGGGAGUGCAGCUCUAAUUGGGUGGUAAAUUUCAUCUAAAGCUAAAUACGGACGAGAGACCGAUAGCGAACAAGUACUGUGAAGGAAAGAUGAAAAGCACUUUGAAAAGAGAGUGAAAAGGACCUGAAAUUGUUAGGAGGUAAGCGAUGUCCACCAGUGUGUGGCCGGUUCCGAAUCAGCCGUGGGGCCCGAACUGCGUGUGGUACUUGGCAGCGCAAGCGCCUGCCGCGCGUUCUACGGGAGGGGUCCGCGGUGCACUUUGGGGCCUGGCCGGGUCAGCGUGGGUUUCCGGUGCUGGAGAGCCCCCCGGGGAAGGUAGGUCCCGCGCGCCUUCGGGCGUGCGGGGCUGUUAUAGCCCGCGGGUGUUUGGCGACAGCGGCGGGGACCGAGGAAAUCGAAUCAAUCGAGUACGGCGCGCGCCACAACGGCGAGUGCGGCUGGGGGGCGGGGGGUUUGUGCGGGGCGGGGCAGCAAGCGGUGGGGGGGGGGUUCGGGG
rnacentral:rRNA from 1 species